rnacentral:rRNA from 1 species
UACGUAGGGGGCAAGCGUUGUCCGGAUUUAUUGGGCGUAAAGAGCGUGUAGGCGGCUAGAUAGGUCCGUUGUGAAAACUCGAGGCUCAACCUCGAGACGUCGAUGGAAACCAUCUGGCUAGAGUCCGGAAGAGGAGAGUGGAAUUCCUGGGUGUAGCGGUGAAAUGCGCAGAUAUCAGGAAGAACACCCGUGGCGAAGGCGGCUCUCUGGUACGUGACUGACGCUGAGACGCGAAAGCGUGGGGAGCAAACAGG